GGAAAAGGGGAGGCAUCCUCGGCCUGCAACAUCUGUUCAAGCAGCCAGCAGAUUUCCCUGAGUAAGCAGCACAUUAACCAGAAUACAGUAGGAGGACCUUUCAGACCUCUAGGGGACUAAAGAAGAGAGGGACAGACAGAAACCCCCACCGGGUUAACCACUAUAGAAGAAGAUCAAGCCAAGGAUCCCUAUGUCGCACUACAACAACACUGGAGUAUAUAACAACCCCGCCUAUCAUGACAGUGACACCCUGGAGAUAGAUAGGAGUCCUUCCAGGAAAUCCCAAUCCCAUCAUAGUAACCCACAUGGUAACCCCUACCCCAGGGAUGAUGGAGCCGGGGGGCAGAGGGGCAGGUCCGACCUCCAGCAGCUCCCAGGAGGGGUCCAGUCCAGC
ensembl:lncRNA